rnacentral:rRNA from 1 species
AGUGAACGCUGGCGGUAGGCCUAACACAUGCAAGUCGAACGGCAGCACAGUAAGAGCUUGCUCUUACGGGUGGCGAGUGGCGGACGGGUGAGGAAUACAUCGGAAUCUACUUUUUCGUGGGGGAUAACGUAGGGAAACUUACGCUAAUACCGCAUACGACCUACGGGUGAAAGCAGGGGAUCUUCGGACCUUGCGCGAUUGAAGGAGCCGAUGUCGGAUUAGCUAGUUGGCGGGGUAAAGGCCCACCAAGGCGACGAUCCGUAGCUGGUCUGAGAGGAUGAUCAGCCACACUGGAACUGAGACACGGUCCAGACUCCUACGGGAGGCAGCAGUGGGGAAUAUUGGACAAUGGGCGCAAGCCUGAUCCAGCCAUACCGCGUGGGUGAAGAAGGCCUUCGGGUUGUAAAGCCCUUUUGUUGGGAAAGAAAAGCAGCAGGUUAAUACCCCGCUGUUCUGACGGUACCCAUAGAAUAAGCACCGGCUAACUUCGUG